GAACUGCGAUAAGUAAUGUGAAUUGCAGAAUUCAGUGAAUCAUCGAGUCUUUGAACGCACAUUGCGCCCCCUGGCAUUCCGGGGGGCAUGCCUGUCCGAGCGUCAUUGCUGCCCAUCAAGCCCGGCUUGUGUGUUGGGUCGUCGUCCCCCCCGGGGGACGGGCCCGAAAGGCAGCGGCGGCACCGUGUCCGGUCCUCGAGCGUAUGGGGCUUUGUCACCCGCUCGACUAGGGCCGGCCGGGCGCCAGCCAACGUCUCCAACCAUUUUUCUUCAGGUUGACCUCGGAUCAGGUAGGGAUACCCGCUGAACUUAAGC
rnacentral:misc_RNA from 1 species